rnacentral:lncRNA from 1 species
GAGAUCAAAAACAUAAACUAAGACCAAAUCCUAAUAGUAAAAUUAAAGAAACAAAAACCCAAGGUAAAAUUUUACCCAAAAAGAUCAAACAAUAAGAAAAAAAUAUCAGAAUGCUCUAGAAACCGCAUUAAAUGUCAUUACUCUGCCCAAUCUGAAAAACGAUCUAAAUUCGUCUUCUCUGAUCAUCUGCCAUUUCUUGUUAAAGACGAUUCCAGAUUUCCAAGGAGAGCUUUUUCCACCGAGCAUAUUGAUUUCCAUUUCAAAAAUCUCCAUUCUUCAUCUUUUACCUUUCAUUUUCAAUCUGGUUCUCGCACACUAUCCCUUUCUUUUUGUUUUUCUACAUAUUCAGGGACUCUUCCUAUUAGGUAAAUCUCCUUCUUACUCUUCAACGUUUCGACUGCAAUAGAAUGUGCUAGGCUAUUUGUUGUUCGUGGAGUGUAUUCAAAUCUGCAUUUUCUUGAUUUAAACAAGAUCUGUUGAAUAUCAUGUAUAUAUGCACCUAUCAGUGACUUAUCCUGACUGUUCGUCUUGCACUUUUUUAUUAUUGAUAAUGAAUCACCUUCAAUGAUAAUGUUUUUCCAUUUCAUGUCGAUGUCGAGUUGUGUUGCUCUUCGACACGCGAGUGCCUCAGCAGCAAAAGCUAAUGCAACUUGUUAAUGGAUCUCUGAGCAUGCUAAGAGAACCUUGCCUUCACUAUUUCUGACCAUAAUCCCUAGUGCUGAAUGACAAAAUCUCCCAUCAUAUGCUGCAUCAAAGUUGAUCUUCAUAAACUAAUCGGGUGGGUGCUUCCAUUUACUAACAACUGGAAAAAUUUUGGGGCUUAUCUUUUCAAUCUCAUUUAAUUCUAAAAUAUAACUGUGAACAAAACUCAUUAUUUUUUUUUUAGAUCUGCUGACCUUUCUGUGCACUCUAGCGUUCCUAUCUCCCCAUAUUGCCAAUAAAACGCAACAAAAAAUCCUACACUAGAAUGAAGUGUUCUGCUCAAAAACCCAGGUUAGCCACUGUAAAAACUCCAAAUGAGGUUCUAGUAGAAAAGUCUGACAUGCUAACUCUCUCAAUACUGAUACUGAAGCAGGACAUUCUCAGCUAGAUGGUCCAUAGUCUCUGUUCCACUUUCAUACCGGGGGCAUAUCGUAGUGUUUGUUAACUAUCUAUGUUGCAUACUGACCCGUAUAUGAAGAUAGUUCCAUGAUAUUUUCCAGACUGUAAUUUUUAUUUUUGAAGGUAGAUUGAGUAGCCAUAAUUUUUUAUAGAAUCCCUUAUAGUCGGUUUGUAAAGCAUACGUUCUAGGAUCUUCUUUAAUGCUUUGUAAUAGUUUAUAAGUGUUGCAUACUAUAUACUCUCCCGAAGGCUCACCGCUCCAUGUUAGAAAAUCAUCGUGAGGUUCAACUGCCAGUGGGAUGCGCAAAAUCCUAUCAGCUACUUCUUUUGGAAAGGUAGAAUCUAUCAACUCUUUUUUCCACAGUCUGCUACUGGUAUCAAUUAACUCAACAACUUUAAAAUCACUCAAAUUAUUAACUAAAGAUGAUAAUCUGAAAAUUCUUACAUCAGAAAUCCAAAUGUCGUUAAGAACCGAAAUAUUUGUACCCCUGUCCACCUUCUAGCAUAGUCAUUCCUCUUAAAUGCCCUUCGUAGCCCAUAUGUUUUUCCAUGCAUACGGACAAUUAUUCCUCAAACGCGCAUCUAAAAAAUUCACUCAGAAAGUAUUUUGCUUUUAAAACUUGCGC